GACAAUACACCGAAGUACAAGGGUAUAAAAAAAAAAAAGGUUCCUUAAAAAAAUAGUAAAGAAAACUCCCAAUGAAGUGACUGAACAUCGAAGACCAGCCACUUCUAAACACUUUCCACCUAUUGUCUCCCUGGUCUUCACUACCACCAUGUGAGGUAGCAGCUAUUAUUAUCAUCCCCAUUUUGUAGAUGAGGAAACUGAGGCUGGCAAAGGCUAAUAACUUGCCCUAAGCUACACACCCAGCCAGUAUGUGAGGCAGGAUUUGAACUCAGGUCUUCGUGACUCCAGGUACCCCUGAGGCCUGUAGCUGAGCUGAGAAUGCUCCUCCUAAAACGCCCCAGCCCCCUCAGCCCUUCUCCAACUGGGGCCUCCCCGUGAGCUCAUGGCCUGUCUGUGCCUUUAGGCAGAGCAAACCCCGCAACCGGCCCUCUUUCCGCCAGACGCUUCUGCAUCUGGACAUCGCCUCGGCUGACGUGCUCGCCACACCCCAGGAGACCUACUUCAAGUCCCAGGCCGAAUGGAGGGAGGAAGUGAAAAAACACUUUGAGAAGAUCAAAAGCGAGGGCACUUGCAUACACCGGCUGGAUGAGGAGCUCAUCAGGCGCCGUCGAGAAGAGCUCAGGCACGCGCUGGACAUUCGGGAGCACUACGAGCGC